GACGAACGCUGGCGGCGUGCCUAAUACAUGCAAGUAGAACGCACAGUUUAUACCGUAGCUUGCUACACCAUAGACUGUGAGUUGCGAACGGGUGAGUAACGCGUAGGUAACCUGCCUGGUAGCGGGGGAUAACUAUUGGAAACGAUAGCUAAUACCGCAUAAUAUUAAUUAUUGCAUGAUAAUUAAUUGAAAGGUGCAAUUGCACCACUACCAGAUGGACCUGCGUUGUAUUAGCUAGUAGGUGAGGUAACGGCUCACCUAGGCGACGAUACAUAGCCGACCUGAGAGGGUGAUCGGCCACACUGGGACUGAGACACGGCCCAGACUCCUACGGGAGGCAGCAGUAGGGAAUCUUCGGCAAUGGACGAAAGUCUGACCGAGCAACGCCGCGUGAGUGAAGAAGGGUUUCGGAUCGUAAAGCUCUGUUGUAAGAGAAGAACGGGGGUGAGAGUGGAAAGUUCACACUGUGACGGUAUCUUACCAGAAAGGGACGGCUAACUACGUG
rnacentral:rRNA from 1 species